rnacentral:rRNA from 1 species
UGGGGAAUAUUGCACAAUGGGGGAAACCCUGAUGCAGCCAUGCCGCGUGUGUGAAGAAGGCCCUAGGGUUGUAAAGCACUUUAAGUUGUGAGGAAGGUUAGUAAGUUAAUACCUUGCUAAAUUGACGUUAGCAACAGAAUAAGCACCGGCUAACUCCGUGCCAGCAGCCGCGGUAAUACGGAGGGUGCAAGCGUUAAUCGGAAUUACUGGGCGUAAAGCGCGCGUAGGCGGCUAUUCAAGCCAGAUGUGAAAUCCCCGGGCUUAACCUGGGAACUGCAUCCGGAACUGGGUAGCUAGAAUACAGCAGAGGAGUGUGGAAUUUCAGGUGUAGCGGUGAAAUGCGUAGAGAU